rnacentral:rRNA from 1 species
AUUGAACGCUGGCGGCAGGCUUAACACAUGCAAGUCGAACGAGUGGCGGACGGGUGAGUAAUGUCUGGGAAUCUGGCUUAUGGAGGGGGAUAACUACGGGAAACGGUAGCUAAUACCGCGUACCAUAGGAUGAGCCCAAGUGGGCUUAGGUAGUUGGUGGGGUAAAGGCUCACCAAGGCGACGAUCUCUAGCUGGUCUGAGAGGAUGAACAGCCACACUGGAACGGGGACACGGCCCAGACUCCUACGGGAGGCAGCAGUGGGGAAUAUUGCGCAAUGGGGGCAACCUGACGCAGCCAUGCCGCGUGAGUGAAGAAGGCCUUCGGGUUGUAAAGUUCUUUCUGUAGGGAGGCGUUAACUACAGAAGAAGCACCGGCUAACUCCGUGCCAGCAGCCGCGGUAAUUC